GGAGGGAUCAUUACUGAGAUGGAGGGUGAUCUCGAAAGAGAAUCACUCACCGUUCUUACCCUUGAAAUACAAAUCGACAUGUUGCUUCCCUGGAGUGAUCCAGGGAUUGCCAUAUCAUCUAUUGUUUUUAUUGUCUGAAUAAAAUACAACUUUUUAAAACCAUCAGCAACGGAUCUCUUGGUUCUGGCAUCGAUGAAGAACGCAGCGAAAUGCGAUACGUAAUGUGAAUUGCAGAUUUUGUGGAUCAUCGAAUUUUUGAACGCAUAUUGCGCCCUCUGGUAGUCCGGAGGGCAUAUCUGUUCGAGUGUCAUUAGACACCCAUCAGGCUUGCCUGGUUUUGGAGGAUGUGGUUGAAAGACUACACCUCUUGAAUAUAUCAUCGUGUCGUGGAAGUGAAAUUCACACCUGUCGAUGUGGUCAAACACAACACAGCUGAGCUUCUCAGAUAACGUCACGUUAAAAUAAUACAACUCUCCUUGUCUAUACAAGGGUUGACCUCGAAUCAGAUAGGAAUACCCGCUGAACUUAAG
rnacentral:rRNA from 1 species